rnacentral:rRNA from 1 species
GUGAGGAAUAUUGGUCAAUGGGCGGGAGCCUGAACCAGCCAAGUCGCGUGAAGGAAGAAGGAUCUAUGGUUCGUAAACUUCUUUUGCAGGGGAAUAAAGUGCAGGACGUGUCCUGUUUUGUAUGUACCCUGAGAAUAAGGAUCGGCUAACUCCGUGCCAGCAGCCGCGGUAAUACGGAGGAUCCGAGCGUUAUCCGGAUUUAUUGGGUUUAAAGGGUGCGUAGGUGGUUUGAUAAGUCAGCGGUGAAAGUUUGCAGCUUAACUGUAAAAAUGCCGUUGAAAAUGUCGGACUUGAGUGUAAAUGAGGUAGGCGGAAUGCGUGGUGUAGCGGUGAAAUGCAUAGAUAUCACGCAGAACUCCGAUUGCGAAGGCAGCUUACUAAGCUACAACUGACACUGAAGCACGAAAGCGUGGGGAUCAAACAGGAUUAGAAACCCUAGUAGUCC